rnacentral:rRNA from 1 species
UACGUAGGGGGCUAGCGUUGUUCGGAUUUAUUGGGCGUAAAGAGCGUGUAGGCGGCCAGGUAGGUCUGCUGUGAAAACUCGAGGCUCAACCUCGAGACGUCGGCGGAAACCAUCUGGCUAGAGUCCGGAAGAGGAGAGUGGAAUUCCUGGUGUAGCGGUGAAAUGCGCAGAUAUCGGGAGGAACACCUGUGGCGAAAGCGGCUCACUGGACAGUAACUGACGCUGAUGCACGAAAGCUAGGGGAGCAAACAGG